UACGUAGGGUGCAAGCGUUAAUCGGAAUUACUGGGCGUAAAGCGCACGUAGGCGGACUUUCAAGUCAGGGGGUGAAAUCCCGGGGCUCAACCUCGGAAUUGCCUUUGAUACUGUAGGUCUCGAGUCCGGAAGAGGUGGGUGGAAUUCCUAGUGUAGAGGUGAAAUUCGUAGAUAUUAGGAAGAACACCGGUGGCGAAGGCGGCC
rnacentral:rRNA from 1 species